rnacentral:rRNA from 1 species
AUGGCACUGCUAGUUCACCUUAUGGUGGCGCUGCCGAUGCCGGCCUGGGUGAUCAAGACCAUCAACCGAUGAUGCCGAAGCUUUAUUUGGAAGGGCGAGGAAGAGACUAAUGGUGGUCACUGCCUGUUACCAUGGUCACGGGUCUUUAUGCCCUGGGAGCUUGGUGGUCUCGGGGUUUUGAACCUGAAAUGUUUUGGAUUCGUGCUGCGCUGCAAGUGGCCUUGGCUGCGCUGGGAGGCGGACGAGAGACCGUGGCAUGCACUACCUGACACCAUGGAGAGGGAGGUAGAGGCACUUUUCAAUGCGGCUUGCCGAGUCAGGCUGGGAUCGGGUGAGAUGGCCAGAUUUUGGACAGACAUGUGGAUGGAGGAUGGCAGGUCCGCUUGGACCAAGGACAUCGCGGGCGGGCUAUCUCUUCCCACCAUAGCGCAGUACCUUAAGGUUCGGGAUUUGGCUGAGGCCACAACUUUGAAUGCUGGAGCCAGGGACACACCGCGUUGGAUGUUGACGGCCGAUCAGCAGUUCUCGGUCCAGAGUGCCUACAGUUUGUUCUUCCUCGGCAAUAUUCGCUUCGCCUGCUCGAAGCCAAUCUGGAAGUCCAAGGAUCCACCACGUUGCAAAUUCUUCAUGUGGCUUGUGGUGCACAGAAGGUGUCUCACGGCAGAUAACCUGGAACGCAGAAACUGGCCGUCCAAUGGAUCGUGCCCCCUCUGUCUAUCAGCGCCGGAGGACUAAACUCACAUUUUCGUUCACUGUCGUUAUACUCAGUAGGUUUGGAUGCACUUUAAAUCCUGGUCGGAUGCGGAUUUUCUAAUCCCUGAUGCUAGUUUUACAUCCACAGAGGACUGGUGGCUACGGGCUAGGGCUGCGAUCCCUAAGGCUGUCAGGAAGAACUUUCACAUGGUGAUUAUUCCGCCGCACUGGAGGGUUUGGAAGGAAAGGAAUGCCAGAAUUUUUGAUCAGAUGGCCAGCUCACCUUACAGGGUCUUGGAACGGAUUAAAGAGGACGUGUCUAUGUGGAGGGCUGCGGGAUGCAUCGUUGAUCUUCCUACUUAG